AUAAACUUGGNGGGNUGCUGCUGGCUCUUCNGAGCAUGUGCACACCCAACACCAUUGUUUCCACCUGUGCACCAUUUGUAGACCUGGAUACCUCUCGAGGAAACUCGGUUUGAGGACUGCUGGCUUCUCAGAAGUCGGCUUUCCUUSCAUUUCCGGUCUAUGUUUUCACAUAUACACUUAUAAUGUUAUAGAAUGUCUUUUAUGGGCUUCAUUGCCUUUAAACUUAUACAACUUUCAACAACGGAUCUCUUGGCUCUCGCAUCGAUGAAGAACGCAGCGAAAUGCGAUAAGUAAUGUGAAUUGCAGAAUUCAGUGAAUCAUCGAAUCUUUGAACGCACCUUGCGCUCCUUGGUAUUCCGAGGAGCAUGCCUGUUUGAGUGUCAUUAAAUUCUCAACCUCUCCCAUUUUUAUUAAUGGUUUAGGCUUGGAUGUGGGGGUUGCGGGCUUCUCAGAAGUCGGCUCUCCUUAAAUGCAUUAGCGGAACCUUUGUGGACCGUCUUUGGUGUGAUAAUUAUCUACGCCAUGGUCGUGAAGCAGUUUUACAUGGGGUUCAGCUUAUAACCGUCUAUUUACUUGGACAACUUUUGACAUUUUGACCUCAAAUCAGGUAGGACUACCCGCUGAACUUAAGCAUAUCA
rnacentral:rRNA from 1 species